UACGGAGGGUGCAAGCGUUAUCCGGAUUCACUGGGUUUAAAGGGUGCGUAGGCGGGCAGGAAAGUCCGUGGUGAAAUCUCUGAGCUUAACUCAGAAACUGCCAUGGAUACUAUUUGUCUUGAAUAUUGUGGAGGUGAGCGGAAUAUGUCAUGUAGCGGUGAAAUGCUUAGAUAUGACAUAGAACACCAAUUGCGAAGGCAGCUUACUACACAACGAUUGACGCUGAGGCACGAAAGCGUGGGGAUCAAACAGG
rnacentral:rRNA from 1 species